ACCCACUUAACUCAGUGGUUAGAGUUUUUCUUUCAUACAGCAAGAGUCGUUGGUUCAAAUCCAAUAGUAGGUA
rfam:Picea glauca, whole genome shotgun sequence.